ACAGAUACAGACAGACACACACACACACACAUUCCAGAAGGUAGUGGUAGGCUAUGGUGGUCGUGGAUGUGUGUGGGCGUGUUCAUGUGGUGUUUGGCGUCCUAGUGGGUGGUGGUUAGCGUAUAUGAGGUAUUAAGAGGCUUGCCCAUUUGCCUCACCGCUUCCUGGGAUUCGAACCCGGACUCUCGAUUGUGAGUCGAGCGUGCUAACCACUACAUUACGGGGUGUGUGUGUGUUGGGGGGGGCGGUGUUGGGGUGUGUGUAUGCGCUGUGUUCCUGACAGGGUGUUUUGUGGUGUUGCAGUUGCCUGAAGUGGUGUCAGGGGCCUAACGCCAUCUACUACCAGGAGGCGGCGGAGCUGGCUGUGGGCUACCGCUGCUCCUGCCGGCACAGCAUGGGCGGGCCGCAGUGCAGCAUUGUCACGGUAGUGGUGGGCAGCGUGGCGCGACCAAGCACCGAGGCGGAGGCCAUGUCGGCGGGCCAGGUGGUGCUGGUGGUGGCGUUCAGCACCGCUAUGCCCGUGGUGGUGGUGGAAUUGGUGUUGGUGAUCGUGUGCAUGAAGCGGAAACGCGUACGUGACUGCCCGUGUCGGGAUGAGGAGGCGCGGCGUCAGAACGAGCAGAACAUGGUGCACAACGCUGUGGGCGCCGUCAACACUGUCUGGACCACCACAUGAUCCACUCCCUAAACUUCCCCAUCAAGAAACCCCUCAACACCCUGCCACCGCCUCCCCUUGCAUCACCCACACCACACCCACCUCCACCACCAUCACCUCACGACCACGGCUACAAGAAUCCCGCGGAGAACGUAUACUCCGCAGUGGCCAUGCGCACCAGCAGGACUCAACGAGGAUGUGUCGUGGCUCUCGCUGGCUGACCGCCUCCACAAGGACAUUGAGCCCCCGCCCAGCGCCCGCGUCACGCCCACCUCGGACUCCACCGCCCCAUGCAAGGUGUUCCGGAAUUCCUUCCUGCCGCGCACAUACACCCACAGUUUUCAGUAUUUUUCCUGGAGAGAUGGACAGCGCUAUCAGGUACAGGAUUUGCGAUGACAACGGCUUGGAGUGUGCGGCUUGGACCCACUCGCCCUGACUUGCCAAGCGUCACUUCAAGGCAUGUAAACUGAGCCGCCACCACCAGUCCAGAGGGUGAAGCACAGUGAGCGUUCCUGUAGGGUGAAGCAAUGAUGACACCCAGCGUUACCAGUCAGCGAGGCCUGCAAUCAAGCGACCGCCGGCAGAGAGGAGCCUUUCCCUGGAAUUUUGACGAGUACCUUGUUGAAGCACAGAGCAGACAGCGUUGGAAAGUGGACUAGUACAGUUUGACCAGAGUCCAACAUUGCACCAGGAUUAAGUGUCCAGGGAUGAAGUGAUACACGUGUGCAGAGGUGCCAGGAGGACGGACGGACGGACGGACAUCAGCCAUCAGCCAUCAGGAGAGCGUGGCGGGAAACACACCACUGUAUAGCUUUCACACGGCUCACAGUUUCCACUCACUCUGGCGGUAGAUGUGGUGUUUGGGGAGGGAGGGUAGGAGUGGACGUAGCCGCUUGUACCUGGAGGAACGUGUGUGUGUGUGUGUGUGUGUUUGUGAGAAGAAGAUUACUAUUCGUGAUAUUUUGAUGUAUGCAUUUAUUAAACUGAGCUGGAACAUUUACAAAGAUGAUAUUAACCCCUUCGGCACUUGCACGUAUUAUCAUCUAUAAUUUUAAGUGUAGGUUAGGUUAGGUUAGGUUAGGUUAGUGAGUAGACGAUUGCAUUGACAUUAUGAAGGGUCUAUGGAGGUCAGAGGUUCAAUAGCCAGUCUUUUCACUAUUUCAAUCCCCACGUGAGUUUGUGAAGCUGUAUAAAAUCAUCAGAUAGUCACCAGAAUGAGUACGGAAAUGUGUAAUGGUGCUGAAAGGGUUAACGUGAAUAAAUUGAUAUCUUUGUUGUAAAUCGAUUUUUUUAAAGUGGCUAUGCUCACAAUUUUAAUGGACCAAAUUUGUUAAUCACUGGAAUGUUCAUAUGCUCAAUACAUCACCUGUGUGUGUGUGUGUGUGUGUGUGUGUGUGUGUGUGUGUGUGUGUGUGUGGAGAAGAGAGAGAUAGGCAGUCUGCAUACCACGUACUAUACAGCUCCACUCCUAAUCCACUAGUGUUGCUUCCUGACCGCCUGCGUUGCCAUUGUACCAAAGAUAAAUGCAAUAAAAUGUCGACGAACUC